rnacentral:lncRNA from 1 species
UAAGCCUUAAUUACACCAUAAAGGCUGUCACUUUAACCUUCUUAUACACCAAUUACAUUCACAUGCCAUGCAUAUUCAUACAACAUCCUCCAAUAUCAAGUUUGGAUUCAUUUAUCCUUCCAACCAUUCCAUUAAACCAAAUUGAGCCAUAGACAUAAAUAAUCAUCAAUUCAAUAGUAUAUCACUAUAUCCACCUUCCAUAACUCAAUUACCAUAUCCACCUUCCACAAUUCAAUACAACCAAACCAUGCAAAAUAG